rnacentral:lncRNA from 1 species
UGAAAUGUAGUUCAAUCUACCUAAGAAACCACGAACCUCCUUUUCUGUUCUCGGUUCAGGCAUUUCUUGUAUUGCUUUUUUCUUUUUUCUUUUUCUUUUUUUUUUCAGCAGGAUCGACCUCGAUUUCUCUUUUCCGCUCACAAUAAGCCUUAGCAACUUACCAGACCGCACUCCGAAAGUGCACUUACUCGGAUUCAACCACAGUUUGAAUUGUCUCGACUAGUCAAACAACUUGG